rnacentral:lncRNA from 1 species
GAGAGCCCGGGCGCGCCAAUCAUCCCACCUAUUUUUCUGACAUAAUUUUACCAAUAGAAGCAUAUUACCGUACCGAACUAUGCUCGGGUUCCACUGUUCCACUGCCACUACCCAGCAGGAAAAGCUUUUUAGUCUUUUUAAAAUAAAAAACACCUCUUUUUUUAUUUAGAAAAUAAGGUGGAUGGUAGAUAGAUUACACAGGAUAAUAUUCCAAAGAGGCUGACAAAAACCAAAAUUAACUUAACAAAAAAAAAAGAAAAGAAAAGGAGAGAAA